GAGUUGAGCCUUGAGUCACAUAUC
rnacentral:siRNA from 1 species